rnacentral:lncRNA from 1 species
UGAGGGCAAAGUCUGAGUGAAUCUCAUGAGGUUUUCAGAAAAGCAAUUUAUUGCAGUUUGCUCAGGAUCCACCAGCGCCAUAUACCUGAACCUGUCGACGUCCAGAGGCAGUGCAGUUCCACCAGUCUCCAGUGUGUCCAGGCCUGAAGCUUCUGGAUUGGAGAGAGUGAGAGCCAAUGGCAAAAGAGAGUGGAACCUGGAGUACGCAGUCAUUGAUUCCGCCAGCUUCACCCUGUCUGCACCGCCUCCGACAGAAUGGCUCCUCCAAGCUCACCUCUGCUCUGACCGGUGAUGGCUGCUUUUGUGCAGGAAAUAAUCAUCCUGCACAGUCGAAGAAAAAUACUGCCCUGUGCACAGAUCACCAAGUCCAGAUUUGUACAAAGAAAACCUCGUUCAGGGCUGCGACUGAGAGCUGAUACAUUUCAAGGGGGACCGGCCGGCUACACUUGUGAGCAGUGACAGAUCUCUGUGAAAUAGAAUCCUGAUUAAAAAUGCAUGUGUGAAACCUCUCCGAACAGAGUGCUGUGUCCAAGGGCAUUUUUCUGAGCUGCUGCAUGUGGCCACUCUGGACUGUUCAUCCCAUCGCCUGGGGCUCCUUUGUGUUUCUGAAACUUUCUACAACUUUGAACUAAACAGAAUUUUUUUUUGUUAAAAAAGUAAUUGAUAUGUGUAAAUUUUAAAACUUCAGAAAUUAAAUGUACCCAAAUAUGAUCUUUUUAUAAAUAUGCCUAAAUCGAACAGAUCCACUAAAUGAUAGCAAGUUGUCAUUCAGAUGCAAGUGAAUGACCACGGUGUUUAGGCCUCUGCCACUGCUAAGUCAUGGAAGAUGAAAGAGUCCUGUGCAUGACCACCUCACCCAGAUUAGCAACUCUGUUGUUGUUAAGUCUAUUAUUGUCGCAGUGCCAGAGCGUAAUCAGCUACUGAACAAUCUGAGGGUGUACAUAAACCAAUUUUGCUCAUUUGGGGUCCAGAUUUGUGGGAAGUCAGGUGUAAAGCCAGAGGUGCUUCUAAAAUAGAAAUGAGGUGAUUCUGUGUAGUUACAAAUAAAAACAACCAAAUCAACAGGGGAACAAUCUGAGUGAGCCAGCUUAUCUUGUGUUCUAGUUGUUCCGGUUUUGUGUUAUUUUGGUCCUAGGAUCAUGGCCUACAAUGCCCAAUUUUGGCCAUGUCUUUGUUGAGAUCUAAAAGGUGGACAUAAACCAUGUAGACAGCCAUGCUUUAAAACCUUAGGAAAUAAAAAAGAAUUGGGAAAAAAUUAAUAACUUGACCAAAUGGUGUAACUGAAUAAAAAGUACUUGUAAUGCUAUGUCUCUGGCUGGUUGCAUAAUUGUGAUAUACACAGCUGUGUGCACAAACAUAUCCACACAUAUUUAUGACAAACAAAUACAUCAGAAAAAUUAUUGAGCUACCUCUGAGGGCCCCAUGGUAUUAUAAUAGAUUUAUCUUGAAAGAUGCCCUUAAAUAUUUAUUUUUCAAUGGCUAUUUUUACAAGAUUUAUUAAUACUCCCUGAGUAACAUCUCUCCUGUCUCCCAUCCUUCACCUGCAGAAAUCACCAUUCCUUGGAAUGCCUACCUUAUGAGGUGUGUUUUAUUUGAUAUCAUUUAGGAAAAGCAACGAUCUGAAGUUUUCCAUAUAACACUUCCCUCCUGAGAAUAUUUUAACCUAACAGCUCCAUGAGACAC